UACGGAGGGGGCUAGCGUUGUUCGGAAUUACUGGGCGUAAAGCGCACGUAGGCGGCUUUGUAAGUUAGAGGUGAAAGCCCAGGGCUCAACCCUGGAAUUGCCUUUAAGACUGCAUCGCUUGAACAUCGGAGAGGUAAGUGGAAUUCCGAGUGUAGAGGUGAAAUUCGUAGAUAUUCGGAAGAACACCAGUGGCGAAGGCGGCUCACUGGCCCGUUACCGACGCUCAGGCGCGACAGCGUGGGGAGCAAACAGG
rnacentral:rRNA from 1 species